ensembl:lncRNA
AUGUUUUCCACCCGGUUCUCCCCUCCCCGCAGCUCGGCGCAUCUCUGUCUGAUCGCGGCUUCUGUCUGCUGCGCGGGCUGCCGGCUUGUGGAGCUCUGGGAUGGAAACCUUUCCACCCGGUUCUCCCCAGCGGCAGCUCUGCGCAUCUCAGAUCGCAGCGGCGCUUGUCUGCUGUGCGGCUGCCGGCUUGUGGAGGUCUCGGGAAACCUCUGUGUUCCACCCGGUUUAACCCAGCGGUCAGCCCGGCGUAUCUCUGACUCAGAAGCUCUGGAAUGCAUUACCUUUGUUUGUGAAGCAGGCACCAUCCCUCCAGUCCAUCAAGUCUCACUUAACCCUCUGGUGGCAGGCGCAGCAGAACUGCACCAUUAAAACCUACCUACCUGGUUAGUCCACAUACGUAUUUCAUGAGCAUUUUUUAACUCAGGAGUACCUCUGAAGGACUUAGAUGUUCGUCCUUUUAUCAAAACUCAUUUUGAGCCUGAGGGGAUUAAAACACAGUGUUAUCGGUUUUACUGAUCAGGUUUUAUUGUGUUUCUUGGUCAGUCAUCAGUUCCCUUGAGUUUUUGUAGUUAAACUUGGUUUCAUUAGAUGUACAGUAGUUAUUUAUUUUUCAUCUUUUGAUUGGUUUUCUUCAAGUAUCUUGUCUUCAUUUUAUCUAUGUUUAUCUUUUUAUCUUUAUUAUAUCUAUUUUUAUCUUGUUCCUGUUUUAUUGUACUUGUUUGACCGUGUUAGUGUACGGCACCUUGGGCCUCUGGGUGGUGGAAGGUGCUGUGUAAAUACACUCGAUGACGGAGACAAUGAUGAAAUUCAAUCUUUGUUAUGUUUUUGCAGCUUUAUUGGUAGCCUAAAUUUUUACUUUAAUAAGUUUAGGUGUUAAAAAUUCUUCUAUCUGAACAAAUUUUACAAUCCUACAAGAAUUUGCCUCUUACUGUUUUGUUGCACUUUAUUCCCACAUCUGCCCAAAAUCUUGGAAAGAUUUGAUGAAUUUAUCAUCAAGAGUCAACAAUCAGAAUCUGACAACAUAUGAACAAUUUAUUUUGUAAACUCACAAUAAUUUAUUUUGAGUGUUAAAAACAAAAGCCUGAAAUAUUUAUCCCUCAAUUCAAGUGGAAGUUUGUGCUAUUGUGAUAUUCAGAAGAAUUAAUGGAUGAGCAUGCAAUAAUGAUCUAAUUAUUGUCAUUAAAACCUGAUUUUUGUGAAUAAUUACUUGUAGACCUCACCCCACUUAUGUUACAUUACUAUAAUAAGUGUGUUCAGUUAAUGCACUAAUUCAAAGGUUAACCAUAAGAGGGCUUUAAUGGUUAUUUUCUUAAAAAGUCAAAAGAACUGAUAAACAUCGUCUUAUUGAUAAUGUUUCCUGUGAACACGAGUUCUGCUGUACCACUAGAGGUCAGUGACAGUUCAUCAGUCAGCCUCACAGACCAUGCAAUAACCAGGAUCAAGAAAAAAAAGAAGUUAUGGUCGAGCUUAGGAUUCUGAAACAUUAUUUAUUUUUGCUUUUACUAGUUUUUUGUGUGCAGUCAUCUCAUUUAGCUUUUAUAUGGCACUGAUUGUAGAGUUAUGUUUUAUGAGUCUGCUUGUUUGACCAAAAAUCACAGCUAGUUAAAGGGUAUUUUAUUUUAUUUUACCUUGUUUUGUUCCAUUCUUAUUUUACGUUGGUUUUGUUUACUUUAUUUAAUUUCAUAUAGUUUAAAUUGACAGUUUACAACAAGAGUCUCCACUUUUGAAGUUAUAGAACAAACAAUGUAAAAAAUCUUUUAUAUUAAAUUUUUAACAUGAAUGAGUUCAUUGAUUUCUACAUAUUUGUCUCCACUUUCACUGAGUUAUGAGUUAAAUUGUUUUAAAGUUACCCUUUUAGAUGCAAUGUGAGUGGAUUUGAUCCCUACUUACCCAAAGCACAUUUUGUCUGCAUUGGGGGCAUGCUGUAAAAUAUUAUUAUAUUAUCUCUCUGCAAACGACGCUGUGUUUAAUAAUGCAAACAAUAUUCUGAACCAAAAAGUAUCUUAAAAUGGGGAUUAAAAUACCUAUUCUUACAAUAUUAUAACAUAAAUUUCGAAAUAUAAAAUUAAAAUUUAGCCAUAGUACUACAAAUGAAUAAUAAAUGCAAAAAAUUAAAUUAAAUUACAGUUUUUUUUCCUUGUUGUGGAUGUUAAGGGUUAAAGUAGGCCCACGCAAACAACAGCCACCAGUUUUAUUAGCACUUUAACCACAUCAUCAUCAUCAUCAUCACCAUCAUCGAGACGUUUUACAUCCUCUGGACUAAAAUAUACAAAAUACUUAACAAAAUACAUUUUUUCCCUUUUAUAUGACAAAUUUGUUAUUUACAAGACAGCAGAAAUGAGCCAGUUUAGCAAACUCACCCACACACACACACACACACACACACACACACGCACACACAGACACACACACACACACACNNNNNNNNNCACACAGACACACACACACACACACACACACACACAUAUGCACACACACACAUAUGCACUCACACACAUAUGCACACACACACACACACAUAUGCACACACACACAUAUGCACACACUCGCGCACACACACGCACGCACGGACACACAAUGAAAACACUCAGGAACAGCUGCUCCUUCCCUUCCUGUUUGUGUUUUUGUUGUUGAACCACAGCUCUCACAUUCCUCAGCUGAGGAUGCUGCAGCUCCUAAGCACACAUGGCACGCUUUGAAGCACAAUCAGGGUAAUUUAGGGAGGAAAAUACAGAUGCAGAUUUUUCAAGAUUUCCUUCAGAUUCCUGUAUACAAUUUCAUGAUUUAAACAGAUUUCCUGCAGCUAUACGAGACUGAUUGUCAUGUUUUAUUUCUGAAAUUGAGAAAUUCUUCAUAUUAGAGAAUAUUCACUUUUUCAAUCACCGCCGCUCAGCUCAGUCUCAAAUCAGCUGCUUUCCAGUAGGUGGCGGUGACCAGUCACUCUUUCAUUCAUACAUUGACUCGGCCAGUCCUGUCUGCCUGAAGGCCUCUGCCACCUGUCUGGAGUGGUUCAUCUUAGCAGACAGAGCCUCUAAAAUAUCAUUCUGGUCUACGGCGGUGGCUGUCCGGUAAAUGAACGUCCCCACAGACUCCAGGCCUCGCAUACCCAGAUUAACCCCAAACCCUGGAGGAGGAAAGAAAAUAAGUCACCAUUUCUUUGAAUCUAAACUCCAUUCCUUCACAAUCUUCUGCAAUACAAUAACGGUAUAUAUAUAUAUAUAUUUUUUUUUAACCUGUGUCAAAAUUGAGGACCCGUGCUGCUUCGCCCUCUACGAUGACAGCAACGUUGUCCCCCUCGAUGUAGGCAGCGCUGAUGCGUCUGUGUGACAGCUGGAUCUCAAAGAGACGCCAGCUGCACUGCAUAUGGUGGAGCGUCACGUCAUUCAGACGAGGCUCUAUGUCUGCCUUAUAAGCAUUGAAGGAGUGAUGAAAAAUAUUCUUCAUUAUCUGGGAAACAGCAAAUAAAAGUCAGAAAUCACUUUACUCGAAGUAGAAAAGUACACAUACAUCUAGUACUGAUAAUAAUAAGUGAUCAUUUAGUAAUUUUAGACAAUUUCUCUGUCUCUUAACCUGAAUCUGAACCAAGCUCUGAUGAAUUGCUCCACUUUUGACUUGUAAAUAUUCAUUAAUCAUUUAAAGUUCCUGUUUGACUCGGUCGCCAUGAGAUGUUUAUCUGCUGAGGCUGAGAAAAUCCAAAAUGACCUCUCUGUGUCUGAGGUUGACAGAUGAAAUGAGGUUUUAUCUAUUUAUAUGAUGUUUUUACAUUUAUGAACCUUUGCGAAUUCAAACAGAUCUGAGGCUUUUUUAGGAAAUGUUUUAGGAACAUUUUUCUGUUUUCAAUUUAAAACUUAAGCCUUUUUUUAUUGCACUGUUAGAAUUACCUGGAACCUCAAAGUGCACAGGCUGGGACACCCUCUCCUAAGACUACCGGCACGUAUUUAAGAUGUUUUCCUCUUGCACAAAAAAUAAUAAUAAUAACCUUCUGAAAAUCACCCCUUUUGAGAAGUGCUCCACGCUCGUUAAUGACCAGCCAAUCAAAGCGAGUCUGAUUAGCUGCGCCUGGCGGCUGCUGCUUACAGACGGGGAUAUGAAACACAUCCACUGACUCACGCUGUGUGCCUUUGAAUCAACUCGUAGCUUUCUCUCUGCUCAAAUCUGCUCUUCUUCGACCCAUACUUACACAGUCAACUGUUACCAAGUAACAGUGCAUUUGAAUGGCCACCCACAUAGCAACAAGUGCUCCACGGAAGGACUCUCCUCAUACCUGCAUGGACUGCAACAGCCCCAUCGGCUGUGCCUGCAGGCACUCAGCGUGAAAAUCAGCUGACUUGAAGUCAGUAAAGUCAUCCACUGAGCAGCAAUGUGUGACAGAGGCAACGGUUUGUAAAUUCAAAAACACACGUGUUGGAGGUCUUCUCUAAAGCUGCGUCACACACUCUUAAUCAUAAACUCGUAA